AGUACCCCACAAACACAGAGCGGCUGCCGAGAUCCUGCUUUCUGAGAAGAGCUUACCAGAAUGACCGGAGUUGGGUGAGUAGGCAGAGCCUGGGCUGCUGCAGAGCGCUGCACCCACCUGCGUCCCUGCAAGACGCAGUGACUGCUGCUGUGCUCGGGACGGCCCGUACUCAUGUCGGCGACGGAGAGCACUGCACCCCUGUCAGCCGCGGAAGAUGAUUCUGUCCUCACUCCCAGUGGAUAAGCUGGAUGCUGGCGGUAAUGGCAGAGUAUUUACAGAAGGCCUGCAGCUGUCAAGCACCUCUCAUGUGCAUGUCAGCAUGAGGAGCAAUGUCCUUGAAGACUACUUCUUCAGAAAGCACAUGUUGCAGCAGCAGGCAGAAGACCGAGACCUUUCUAACCCACACAAACCAAAACUCUGUCUCAUCCUGCACGCCCUCAGAAUAUGCAAGCAGAUUUAAUCCAGAUUUACAGCCUGCUGGCCACCAACUCAGAGCCUUUUCCAACAGCGUGAUGAGCUUCCUCCACUGCCACUAAACGGAGUGUGAUUGCUGUGGGAUCGCCUCCAGAAGCACUGCCUGCUGAGACAACAGGCAUUCCUCCUGCAGCUCAGAACACGUCUGUGCUGAGCCAGCUCUCUGCUAGGAACUUUGCACACAGUGCUGUGUAACUUUUGCUUUUCACUGAAAGGAACGGAUUUUCUGGUUUUGGAAAACAAACCCAUUAGUCAGUGCAGCCUGGCAGUACUUCUGCCCUUCUUCGAACAGUUUCUCUAAUGAAAAUCUUUUAAAAGGGACGUCUUAGUCUCUCCUACUUACUACACUUUGUAGGGGUCUUGCCUUCAUCCGUAGAAUUAAUGGCUUAAUAAGCAUUAGACCCUCCUAUUAUAUGGUAGCAAAUAGGAAUACAAUACUUUUAUCAAUAUUUGGCACAAUUAUUUUUUUUUUAUGUGAAACUAAAAUAUUGAUGCUGUCAAG
rnacentral:lncRNA from 7 species